rnacentral:rRNA from 1 species
AUUGAACGCUGGCGGCAGGCUUAACACAUGCAAGUCGAGCGAGCGGCGGACGGGUGAGUAAUGUCUGGGCAACUUCCUGAUGGCGGGGGUUAACUACUGGAAACGGUAGCUAAUACCGCAUACCAUCAGAUGUGCCCAGAUGGGAUUAGCUAGUAGGUGGGGUACUGUGUCACCUAGGCGACGAUCCCUAGCUGGUCUGAGAGGAUGACCAGCUACACUGGAACGUAGACACGGUCCAGACUCCUACGGGAGGCAGCAGUGGGGAAGAUUGCGCAAUGGGCGCAAGCCGGAUGCAGCCAUGCCGCGUGUGUGAAGAAGGCCUUCGGGUUGUAAAGCACUUUCAGCGAGGAGGCGUUACUCGCAGAAGAAGCACCGGCUAAGGCGGAGCCAGCAGCCGCGGUAAUUC